UACGUAGGGUGCGAGCGUUGUCCGGAAUUAUUGGGCGUAAAGAGCUCGUAGGCGGUUUGUCGCGUCGACUGUGAAAACCCGAGGCUUAACCUCGGGCCUGCAGUCGAUACGGGCAGACUAGAGUUCGGUAGGGGAGACUGGAAUUCCUGGUGUAGCGGUGAAAUGCGCAGAUAUCAGGAGGAACACCAGUGGCGAAGGCGGCUACCUGGGCAAAUACUGACGCUGAGGCGCGAAAGCGUGGGGAGCAAACAGG
rnacentral:rRNA from 1 species